rnacentral:rRNA from 1 species
AGCAGCCGCGGUAAUUCCAGCUCCAAUAGCGUAUAUUAAAGUUGUUGCAGUUAAAAAGCUCGUAGUUGAAUUUCGGGGUUCUACCGUUGGUCGGGCAAUAGUCUGUACUGGCGUGUAGAAUUUCUACCUUCUGGGGAACCAUCAUGUUAUUAAUUUAACGUGGUGGGAAACCAGGACCUUUACCUUGAAAAAAUUAGAGUGUUCAAAGCAGGCUUAUGUCUGAAUACAUUAGCAUGGAAUAAUAAAAUAGGACGGUGGUCCUGUUUUGUUGGUUUCUGAAUCACCGUAAUGAUUAAUAGGGAUAGUUGGGGGCAUUAGUAUUCAAUUGUCAGAGGUGAAAUUCUUGGAUUUAU